CUCUGGGUAAAGUAAAACUUGCUUCCCUUCAGGAAUGGCCAGCCUGAGUUCGUACCUGUUCCAGAGAGAGUGUGGUCACAGAAGUGUCUUUUCUCCACUGUGAGCCUGUUGGACCAAAGACACUGUUUGGCUUAGAGUAUCAAAACUACACUCCAGAAUGCUUUCCUGAGAUGCCCAUCUCCCUUGGCUCACCCACUGGGCUUCUCUCAUCAUGUUAAACCCACCGUCCUGCAAUGCUGAUAUUCUAGAUAUGUAUUCCAAUGGCAUCUUGCAAACGAGUGGAAAAAUAAAUCUGGUUGGCAAAA